rnacentral:rRNA from 1 species
CCCUUAGAUGUUCUGGGCUGCACGCGCGCUACACUGAUGCGCUCAACGAGUUUUAACCUUGCCUGGAAAGGUUGGGUAAUCUUUUUAAAACGCAUCGUGAUGGGGAUAGAUUAUUGCAAUUAUUAAUCUUCAACGAGGAAUUCCUAGUAAACGCAAGUCAUCAGCUUGCAUUGAUUACGUCCCUGCCCUUUGUACACACCGCCCGUCGCACCUACCGAUUGAAUGGUCCGGUGAAAUCCUCGGAUCGAGCCGUGGGGCAACUCCGGUUCGAGAAGUUGAUUAAACCUUACCAUUUAGAGGAAGGUGAAGUCGUAACA